rnacentral:rRNA from 1 species
UAGGGAAUCUUCGGCAAUGGACGAAAGUCUGACCGAGCAACGCCGCGUGAGUGAAGAAGGUUUUCGGAUCGUAAAACUCUGUUGGUAGAGAAGAACGUUGGUGAGAGUGGAAAGCUCAUCAAGUGACGGUAACUACCCAGAAAGGGACGGCUAACUACGUGCCAGCAGCCGCGGUAAUACGUAGGUCCCGAGCGUUGUCCGGAUUUAUUGGGCGUAAAGCGAGCGCAGGUGGUUUAUUAAGUCUGGUGUAAAAGGCAGUGGCUCAACCAUUGUAUGCAUUGGAAACUGGUAGACUUGAGUGCAGGAGAGGAGAGUGGAAUUCCAUGUGUAGCGGUGAAAUGCGUAGAUAUAUGGAGGAACACCGGUGGCGAAAGCGGCUCUCUGGCCUGUAACUGACACUGAGGCUCGAAAGCGUGGGGAGCAAA